rnacentral:tRNA from 1 species
GCCAGCAUAGCUCAGUUGGUAGAGCACUUGAUUUGUAAUCAUGAGGUCAUCGGUUCGAACCCGAUUGCUGGCUCCA